rnacentral:rRNA from 1 species
CGUAGGGGGCGAGCGUUAUCCGGAUUCACUGGGCGUAAAGGGCGCGCAGGCGGCUACGUAAGUCCGGCGUGAAAUCCCAUGGCUUAACUGUGGAACUGCGUCGGAUACUGCGUUGGCUUGAGGAUGGUAGAGGCCAUUAGAACUAGCGGUGUAGCGGUGAAAUGCGCAGAUAUCGCUAGGAAUGCCGGUGGCGAAGGCGGAUGGCUGGGCCACUCCUGACGCUGAGGCGCGAAAGCUAGGGGAGCGAACCGGAUUAGAUACCCGGGUAGUCCUAGCCGUAAACGGUGGGUGCUAGGUGUGGGGAUCGCAAGAUUUCCGUGCCGCAGCUAACGCAUUAAGCACCCCGCCUGGGGAGUACGGCCGCAAGGCUA